rnacentral:rRNA from 1 species
UACGGGGGGAGCAAGCGUUGUUCGGAUUUACUGGGCGUAAAGGGCGCGUAGGCGGCCACCGCAAGUCGACUGUGAAAUCUCCGGGCUUAACCCGGAAAGGUCAGCCGAUACUGCGGGGCUAGAGUGCAGAAGGGGCAACUGGAAUUCUCGGUGUAGCGGUGAAAUGCGUAGAUAUCGAGAGGAACACCUGCGGCGAAGGCGGGUUGCUGGGCUGACACUGACGCUGAUGCGCGAAGGCGUGGGGAGCGAACGGG